rnacentral:rRNA from 1 species
GGACGAACGCUGGCGGCGUGCCUAAUACAUGCAAGUAGAACGCACAGUUUAUACCGUAGCUUGCUACACCAUAGACUGUGAGUUGCGAACGGGUGAGUAACGCGUAGGUAACCUGCCUGGUAGCGGGGGAUAACUAUUGGAAACGAUAGCUAAUACCGCAUAAUAUUAAUUAUUGCAUGAUAAUUAAUUGAAAGGUGCAGUUGCACCACUACCAGAUGGACCUGCGUUGUAUUAGCUAGUAGGUGAGGUAACGGCUCACCUAGGCGACGAUACAUAGCCGACCUUAGAGGGUGAUCGGCCACACUGGGACUGAGACACGGCCCAGACUCCUACGGGAGGCAGCAGUAGGGAAUCUUCGGCAAUGGACGAAAGUCUGACCGAGCAACGCCGCGUGAGUGAAGAAGGUUUUCGGAUCGUAAAGCUCUGUUGUAAGAGAAGAACGGGUGUGAGAGUGGAAAGUUCACACUGUGACGGUAUCUUACCAGAAAGGGACGGCUAACUACGUG